AAGACGGGUCUCGUUCUUAACGAUGUAUCUUUGUCUGCCUUGGAAUCUUCUCGAAAAUCGUUUUUGCGUUUGAUUACGUGAUUCGACGUUCGAGACUUUUACUUUGAGGAAAUUAGAGUGUUCAUAGCAAGCAGUCGCUUUGAAUAUAUUAGCAUGGAAUAAUAAUAUAAGACUAAGUACUUAUUUUGUUGGUUUCUAGGGACUUAGUAAUGAUAAAUAGGGAUAAUUGGGGGUAUUUGUAUUGUCGCGUCAGAGGUGGAAUUCUUGGAUUGCGCUAAGACAAACUACUGCGAAAGCAUUUGCCAAGGAUGUUUUCAUUGAUCAAGAACGAAAGUUUGGGGAUCGAAGAUGAUUAGAUACCGUCGUAGUCCAAACCAUAAACUAUGCCAACUAGAGAUGGGUAAGUGUUAUUUUUCGACCUUAUCUGCACCUUAUGAGAAAUCAAAGUCUUUGGGUUCCGGGGGGAGUAUGGUCGCAAGGCUGAAACUUAAAGGAAUUGACGGAAGGGCACCACCAGGAGUGGAGCCUGCGGCUUAAUUUGACUCAACACGGGGAAACUCACCAGGUCCAGACAUAGUAAGGAUUGACAGAUUGAUAGAUCUUUCUUGAUUCUAUGGGUGGUGGUGCAUGGCCGAUCUUAGUUGGUGGAGUGAUUUGUCUGGUUAAUUCCGUUAACGAACGAGACCUUGACCUGCUAAAUAGACCCACGUAUCUUCGGAUAUUUGAGGCGCUUCUUAGAUGGGACUAUCGGUUCAUAGGCCGAUGGAAGUUCGAGGCAAUAUCAGGUCUGUGAUGCCCUUAGAUGUUCGGGGCUGCACACGCGCUACACUGACAAUUUCAUCGAGCUUUUUCCUUGCCCGGUGGGGUUGGGUAAUCUUUUGAAAAAUUG
rnacentral:rRNA from 1 species